rnacentral:rRNA from 2 species
AUGCAUGUCUAAGUACAAGCCUCACUAAGGUGAAACCGCGAAUGGCUCAUUAAAUCACACCUAAUCUACUGGAUAGUUAACAGUUACUUGGAUAACUGCGGUAAUUCUGGAGCUAAUACAUGCACAAAGCCCCGAACUUACGUGAGGGGCGCUUUUAUUAGAUCAAAACCAAACGGCUCCGGCUGUUCUCUUGGUGACUCUGAAUAACUUUGGGCUGAUCGCAUAGCCUAGCGCUGGCGACAUAUCCUUCGAAGGUGUGCCCUAUCAACUGUCGACUGUGGCAUAGACGCCCACAGUGGUUUUGACGGGUAACGGGGAAUCAGGGUUCGAUUCCGGAGAGGGAGCCUUAAAAACGGCUACCACA